GAUGAACGCUGGCGGCGUGCCUAAUACAUGCAAGUCGAGCGAACAGACGAGGAGCUUGCUCCUCUGACGUUAGCGGCUGACGGGUGAGUAACACGUGGAUAACCUACCUAUAAGACUGGGAUAACUUCGGGAAACCGGAGCCAAUACCGGAUAAUAUAUUGAACCGCAUGGUUCAAUAGUGAAUGACGGCUUUGCUGUCACUUAUAGAUGGUUCCGCGCCGCAUUAGCUAGUUGGUAAGGUAACGGCUUACCAAGGCAACGAUGCGUAGCCGACCUGAGAGAGUGAUCGGCCACACUGGAACUGAAACACGGUCCAGACUCCUAAGGGAGGCAGCAGUAGGGAAUCUUCGGCAAUGGGCGAAAGCCUGACGGAGCAACGCCGCGUGAGUGAUGAAGGUCUUCGGAUCGUAAAACUCUGUUAUUGGGGAAGAACAAAUGUGUAAGUAAAUAUGGACGUCUUGACGGUACCUAAUCAAAAAGCCACGGCUAACUACGUG
rnacentral:rRNA from 1 species